AUGCACGCUGGCGGCGUGCCUAAUACAUGCAAGUCGAGCGAACAGACGAGGAGCUUGCUCCUCUGACGUUAGCGGCGGACGGGUGAGUAACACGUGGAUAACCUACCUAUAAGACUGGGAUAACUUCGGGAAACCGGAGCUAAUACCGGAUAAUAUAUUGAACCGCCUGGUUCAAUAGUGAAAGACGGUUUUGCUGUCACUUAUAGAUGGAUCCGCGCCGCAUUAGCUAGUUGGUAAGGUAACGGCUUACCAAGGCAACGAUGCGUAGCCGACCUGAGAGGGUGAUCGGACACACUGGAACUGAGACACGGUCCAGACUCCUACGGGAGGCAGCAGUAGGGAAUCUUCCGCAAUGGGCGAAAGCCUGACGGAGCAACGCCGCGUGAGUGAUGAAGGUCUUCGGAUCGUAAAACUCUGUUAUUAGGGAAGAACAAAUGUGUAAGUAACUAUGCACGUCUUGACGGUACCUAAUCAGAAAGCCACGGCUAACUACGUG
rnacentral:rRNA from 1 species